ensembl:rRNA 5S_rRNA 5S ribosomal RNA
UUCAUCUGUCGUAGUUUCUAUCCCAACCCAUUCACACAGUUUCAAGGAGCUAAGCAGAGCUGAGCCUGGUCAGUACCUGGAUGGGAGACCACCUGGGAACACUAGGUUGCUGUUGGAA